GGUGAAAUUAAGCCACGUUUUUGGGUAUUGUUCUGAUUUCCCAAUGCCUUCUCUAUUGUUUUCUUAUCUGUCCUGAUGGGUCAGUGGGAGGGGGAAAUUUUGUUUUGUCUUGAUGCAUUUGUUAGGAGAGGUCACCUGUCAGGCAAAUGAUGCAUGAUAGAAACUUUUGCUUGUUAGAAAGGAUUUAUGAGUUAAUGUCAUGGAUGUCAAAUUUGGGCCACUUGAUAAUUUAUUUUUGUCAUCU
rnacentral:misc_RNA from 1 species